rnacentral:rRNA from 1 species
UUUUUGGUAAUAAUUUAAAGUCUAAUCUGCCCACUGAUUUAAAUUAAAGGGCUGCAGUAUAUUGACUGUACAAAGGUAGCAUAAUCAUUAGUUUUUUAAUUGAAAACUUGUAUGAAGGAUUUGAUGAAAUAUAAACUGUCUCUUAUUUAAAAUUAAAAAUUUAUUUUUUAGUUAAAAAGCUAAAAUAAUUUUAAAAGACGAGAAGACCCUAUAGAGUUUUAUAUUAAAUUAUUUUAUAAUUAUUUAUAUAAUUAAAAAUUAAAAAUGAAUUUAAUAUUUUAUUGGGGUGAUAGAAAAAUUAAAAAAACUUUUUUUAAAUUAUUAACAUAGAUAUAUGAAUAAAUGAUCCAUAAUUAAUGAUUAUAAGAAAAAAUUACCUUAGGGAUAACAGCGUAAUAUUUUUUUUUAGUUCAUAUAAAAAAAAAAGUUUGCGACCUCGAUGUUGGAUUAAGAUAAAAUUUAAAUGCAAAAGUUUAAAAGUUUUGAUCUGUUCGAUCAUUAAAAUCUUACAUGAUCUGAGCUCAAACC